rnacentral:lncRNA from 1 species
GCUGCCUUUGUUCCACUUGUGUCUGAACGUUGGAGGAGAAACAGCAGGCUCCAGUUUUCAUUAACUCAUUUGCAGAAGUGUAAAAUUCAUGUUCACUGAACAUUUUCCCCACUCUGAGGUCUUUCAACUGACUUUCAAACAAUGCUGUCAUGUCGUGCCUGGUGGACCUGGGAUGUGCUACUACUGUUCUUAGGCCUGUCGAUCCAUGCUUGUUCAGCAGCUCAGGUCAUAGAAGGUGGUUGUCAACAUUUAUUUCCCUAUUUACAUGGAAGAUGGGCUGUUAUGUGAAUGAGACAGGAAGGAAUUAAGGAAGCAGCAAUUUUUUUCCUUGACUCUCCCCUAAUCUUUUCUGGAGCAG